GUGUGUAUAUAUAGAUACACACUUGUGUAUGUGCGUUAUGUACACAAGCGUGUAUCUAUAAGUGCACAAA
rnacentral:pre_miRNA from 14 species